UACGUAGGGUGCGAGCGUUAAUCGGAAUUACUGGGCGCAAAGCGUGCGCAGGCGGUUUUGUAAGACAGGCGUGAAAUCCCCGGGCUCAACCUGGGAAUGGCGCUUGUGACUGCAAAGCUGGAGUGCGGCAGAGGGGGAUGGAAUUCCGCGUGUAGCAGUGAAAUGCGUAGAUAUGCGGAGGAACACCGAUGGCGAAGGCAAUCCCCUGGGCCUGCACUGACGCUCAUGCACGAAAGCGUGGGGAGCAAACAGG
rnacentral:rRNA from 1 species